CGUUGCGGCUGCAUUAGGCAUGCAGUCGACGGUAGGGAACCUUUCGGGGUUCCUGAGAGUGGCGAACGGGUGAGUAACGCGUAGGUAAUCUGCCUUCAGGUGGGGGACAACCCGGGGAAACCCGGGCUAAUACCGCAUGUGACAGUAAUGUCAAAGCCGGCCUCUGAAUAUGCUGGUGCCUGGAGAUGAGCCUGCGUCUGAUUAGCUGGUUGGUGGGGUAACGGCCUACCAAGGCGAUGAUAAGUAGGCGGCUUUAACGAGUGGUCGCCCACACUGGGAUUGAGAUACGGCCCAGACUCCUACGGGAGGCAGCAGUCGAGGAUAGUCUACAAUGGUCGAGAGAUUGAUAGUGCGACGCCGCGUGAACGAUGAAGCAUUUCGGUGUGUAAAGUUCUUUUCUAUGGGAGCAGGGCUAAGGAUGUUAACAGCAUAGUUAGCUUGAUAUUACUAUAGGAAUAAGCCACGGCUAACUCCGUGCCAGCAGCCGCGGUAAUACGGGGGUGGCGAGCGUUGUCCGGAAUUACUAGGCGUAAAGGGCAGGUAGGCGGAUUGGUAAGUUAACCGUUAAAGGCCCAUGCUCACCAUGGGUAGGGCGGUUGAUACUGUCAGUCUGGAAGCGAGUGGGGGAAGACGGAAUUCCUGGUGUAGCGGUGGAAUGCGCAGAUAUCAGGAGGAACACCGAAGGCGAAGGCAGUCUUCUACGCUUGUCUUGACGCUAAACUGCGAAGGUGCGGGUAUCAAACAGGAUUAGAUACCCUGGUAGUCCGCACAGUAAACGAUAUUCACUAGGUGUCGGUAGGAUAGACCUGUCGGUGCCGUAGCUAACGCGAUAAGUGAAUCGCCUGGGGAGUACGAUCGCAAGGUUGAAACUCAAAGGAAUUGACGG
rnacentral:rRNA from 1 species